rnacentral:rRNA from 1 species
CCCUAGAGUGGGGGAUAACGUAGCGAAAGUUACACUAAUACCGCAUACGAUCUAAGGAUGAAAGUGGGGGAUCGCAAGACCUCAUGCUCGUGGAGCGGCCGAUAUCUGAUUAGCUAGUUGGUAGGGUAAAAGCCUACCAAGGCAUCGAUCAGUAGCUGGUCUGAGAGGACGACCAGCCACUCUGGAACUGAGACACGGUCCAGACUCCUACGGGAGGCAGCAGUGGGGAAUUUUGGACAAUGGGCUAAAGCCUGAUCCAGCAAUGCCGCGUGAGUGAAGAAGGCCUUCGGGUUGUAAAGCUCUUUUGUCAGGGAAGAAACGGUGAGAGCUAAUAUCUCUUGCUAAUGACGGUACCUGAAGAAUAAGCACCGGCUAACUACGUGCCAGCAGCCGCGGUAAUACGUAGGGUGCAAGCGUUAAUCGGAAUUACUGGGCGUAAAGCGUGCGCACGCGGUUUUGUAUUUCUGAUGUAAAAUCCCCGGGCUCAACCUGGGAAUUGCUUUGGAGAC